UGCCUACACAAAAUAGUUUAGUUUUUAUUUUUAUUUUCUUUUGUUUCUUUUGCUUUCUUCUCCAUACGGAGAAAUCAGAGUAGUCUCAGAUUCAAUCCGCUUAGCUUCCUCAAAUUCUCAGAUUUGAUCUCUAGCCACCGUCGAAUGAAGCCUCACCACCACACUCCUUUUGACACCUUCGCUCGUUACCACCACCACCAGCAGCUCAUCAGCACCAUCCGCCAUCUCUCUCUCUCUCUCUGUGCUGUGUUUAUUUCAGAGCUCCCUGCAGCACGCUGCAAUCUGGUUCAGUUAAAGUCUCUUUUCUUAGACAACAAUCAAGUGAAACAUGUAGAGCAAUUGAAACGUGGUUUUGCAGAUAUCGCUGACGACGUCUACGAGAUUCUCCAUGGAAGGGUAUGGGCAGGUCACAAUAUAUUGAGGUUUGAUAUACCAAGGAUAAGAGAAGCGUUUGCAGAUUGCAGAGAUUGGACGUGAUCCACCAGAGCCAAAAGGCACCAUUGACUCGUUGGUGUUGCUUACUUAAAAGUUUGGGAGGAGAGCUGGUGAUAUGAACUUGGUUUUAUUCUGCAACCUCAAAGAACAAGCUUGUGAUUGUGAUGUUGUUUGUAACAUAACAAUGGUGUAAAUGUAUGUAGAUGGUAUUGCUGCACAUUGAAGACUGUCCUGAUAAAGAGCCUCUUGGCCAUGGGUUCUAUGCAGGCUCCACUAUGGCCACAAGGAUAACAAUACCAGAUUUCAAUCACCAAGUUUAUCUGUUGUAUUUUGCAAUGAGUUCAUGUAUUGAUUUUGUGUGUUUUGAAUCUUUAAUGGAAAAGCAUAUGAUAUUCUUAUGACUUACUAUUAGAGUAAAUUAUAUUUAUUAAUAUCGUUGCAAUAUAUAUUAUAAAUAUUUUAUCAUUUCUAUUUAUAAAAUUAGGGAUAUAUAAUUUUACAUAGUGACUAGUUAGACUUAUUUUUAACCCCUCAGCCCUAAAUAUAAUCAUAAAAUUUAACUUUUAAACUUUUAAACUUUUUUGAUCAAAAAAAAACUUUUAAACUUUAUAUGAAAAUACAGUUCGAUACAAAUAUACUAAUACCCUAAAUCCUUAAAUUCAAGCUUAAAAGAUAUUCUAAAUACUAAAUAAAAUCUCUAAAUAAAAUGUUUUCAGAUUUUAAUGCCAAAAUUUAAACUUAAAAACUUUAUAUCUAAUUUAAAAAAAGAAAAAAAAACCAUUCAAAAUCUUAAAUGUAAACCUUAAAUCUUCCAUCAAAUUAUAUACCCUAAAUCUUAACUUCAAACAUAAACCUUUCAUUCACUAAAUAUAAACUUCCAAUAUAAAUUUAAAAAAUUUAAUAAACUUCAAAUCUAAAUUUUAAUCACAAACCUUUAUAUACAACUCUAACCCUUAUACUUUCAAAACUCUAAACCCCUAAAUCAUAAUGAAUUAAAUCUUAAAUCUAAAACUAUAAUCCCUUCGUUUCAUAUUAAGUGUCGUUGUAGAGAAUUUUUUUCGUUACAAAACAAGUGUCGUUUUCGAUUUCAAUGCAAAAUUUAUUAAUUUUAUUUAGUAAAUUAUUUUUCUAUUGGUUGAAAUAUGGUUAGGUAUAUUGGUAUUUGUGUUUUUAUAUAGAAAAUAUGCAAAAUUAAUUGUUCCCUUAAUCUGUGUGCACAAACCCAACGACACUUAAUAUGAAACAAAGAGAGUAUCUAAUACCCUAUACCCCAAACUUAAACUCUACGUACAAAAUCAUAAAUCCAAUCUUUACAAACUUAUAAUAGAGAUUUUAAAUUUAAACUCCAAAUUUAUAGUAAAACUAAAAUCAUAUACUCAAUCCUAAAUUUUAACCAUAACCCCCAAAUCACAUAUCUCAUUGUAACAUCCAUUAUAUACCAAAGCACAAGUCACCCUACCAAUCAUAUUUUGCCACAUAAUUUAAGAAAUAAAAAUAAUUUAAAAUCACAAAUGCAAAUGAAAUAAAGAAAAAUGGAGGAGGCUAAAUAUAGUACAAUACGUGCCAAUUUAAAUAUUUGAUAGACAAAAUCAAAAGCAUUUUCACAGUCCACCUCGCCGAUUUUACACUUUCACGAUCACCAUUCACCAGAAAUCUCGGAAUUAACUACUAUAUUUUCUUUCUUUUCAGAACAAUAACUACCUACUUUCUAUUAUUUAUAUUUGUAUCAGUUUAUUCAGUGACCGCAUAUUGCUAAAAAUCACGUUUUCUCUCCUCCUCAGGACCCUGAUCUGGGAAUGCAUGCAAAGCUUCUUUCUUAUAUUAUUUGUUAAAUUCAAAUCAUUUUUUUUUUGCUACUGCUUAAUCUCUUUCGAUCUUACUCUUUUCUCUAUUUUUACUAAACCUCAUUCACCACAUGCAAGGUUUUCUUCAAAAAACUCAAGGUUAGUACUUCUUUUCCAAAACAAAAAUAUGAGUCGGAGUAGACAAAAUGGAUAUAUCAAAGUUUUCUCUGUCUUUUACGCUAUAUUCAAAAAUCUCUAUUAAAUUUUUGUAGCCUUUACAUGCUUGAAAAAAUUGUAUCUAAUAGUUAAUAAUAAUGAUCGACUGAUGUAAAUUUCAAAAAGUGUGGAAAGAGCAAAAAAAUCAAACACUACGGGGAAAAGACUAUCAUCAAAAAUGGAAUUAAGGUAUACAUAUUACAUUUUACAAAUAUUUUUUACCAUAAAGAAGUAUCUUAUUUUCUUCUGACAAUAAAUAAAAUAGAAGUCAUGAGGAUAACACCAAUAAUAUCAUUGUUUCUUGGGAAAGACUACAUGAAUAGUAAGUCUAUAUUUCUUGCUUUAUUUUUCGGUAAAAUUUAUGUUUUAUUUGGGAAGAUGGAGUAUAAAGCAAGUAGAUUCUAUAGUGGAGCUGAAAUCGACUUUUUCUUAAAGAUGAAAAUUGAGUGUAAAUUCAUCGGUCACGAGUGUAUGUAAUUCCGCAUUUAGUAAUACUUUACAAAUACAUGCGUUAGAUUGUGUAUAUUUAACAGGGGGUGGCAAAAAAAUAAUAUUUUGUAUGUUUAAUCAUAAUGUUCAUUAUGUACAAAAUUAAUCAUAAUGUUAGCUACAAAAUUUUUGCAAUCAAGUAAACUGAAUUGAAAAGGUGAAAUGAAUUUUAGAAGAUAAUUAUUAAACAAGAGAAUGUUAAUCAUUUUCUUAUCCCGUACGUAGUGCGGAUAGAAUACUAGUAUAUCAUAAAGCAUUAAAUCUUAAUUUUUAAAUAAAUUAUAAUUUUGUAAAUAAAUUAUAAUGUUAAAUACAAAAUUUAGAUUUCAAAUUUUCAUUAUGAUCAAAGUAUUUAAAGCUAAGACAGUUUUUAAAAUAGUUAUAAAUAAAUAAGAAUACAAUUAGUAUUGUAUUUUUUGAACCAUUGAUUGAUUUGAAUCAAAUGCUCAAAAUUAAUCUUGUACCUAUCCUCAUCCUUUUUUCCUAUUCGCUUACUUGUUCUUAUGACAUGGAUCACCAUCUGCAUUUUUCGAUGACAUUGAAUCAACGUUUGAGAUUAAUUCUUUUAUUCUUUUUUUUAAAAUUAUUUUUUUUGUGAGAUCUACGAUUCGAGAAGUGAGAGAGAGAGAAGAGAUGGAGUUUGUAGAUGGCAGAGAAAGGAGAAGACGUGACGUUAUCACCACCACCAUCGCUAGUUACUAUCACCACCAUCGCUGGUUACUAUCACCACCAUCGCCAUCUCUCCCAUCCCCAAUCGCUCGUCACCACCACCACUGCUGGUGGAGCAUACAGGAAAGGCAUCGCCAUCCUGCAUCCGACAGUGUAGUGAACGAAAAGUACCUUAACGCGGGUUCUGGGAAUGAUCUCACUGAGGAAAAUAUGCGCGCGGGCACUCCUAAAUGUUGCAGCUGAGCAGCCAGAUAUGGAGAGGCUCCUUCAGAAACAUUUUACUUGCUUUGGAGGACGUCAACACGCUCUACAAACAAUCAGACACGCUCCUUAAGUUGUCCCAUACUCAAGUUCGUUUAUGCUUUAUAUGGUUUGAGUUGAGUUAAAGUUCCUUUCUUUAAUUAUGUGUGUUGCAGAAGUCCAAGAGGAAUGACUCUUCCAAAACUAUGUCCCAACGUUUGCAAGGUCGUGGUCGUGACUCGUGAGCAAGAGCUAGUGUUGUGCAGAGGAGAUGUCUGGAACUCGUCUCCGUCUAGACUCACACGAAUGUUGCAGUCUUUCACUGGAAUUGCCAAGUGCAGCCUUUGAAGGUAUUGUGACAGUAAAGACUGAUACUUUCUUCUUCUUAGAGUUUUGCUUAUGUCUGCUGAUUCAUUUUUUUUUUUUUGAUAACUGUAAAUUAUAUUUCCAAAAUAAAAUUGGUUACAUGAGCUUCAAGACCAGAGUACUUCUAUGGCCAAAAAAAAUUAAAAACCAGUGAGAAGCUAAGAGUUUGGUGCAGCAAAUUGUUAGCUAAGGUUAGCUAUACUUGAACCAUAAGGAGAGUAAGGUUGUACACCCCUUGUUGCGUCGUCUUGCUAGAAGAAUGUCCUUCGUAACCCUAUCAAUCCUGUUAAAGAUAGCUAGGGGAGUUGAUGGAGGUCUUCCAUGUUUCCUAUCAUUUCUUUCUCUCCAUAUGUGAUAGACUGUAGCUUGACAGACAAUUAAACUGAGAAGCCUUCUCCUUGGUGACCAUCUCUGCUGGAGAAGCCACCCAAUCAUUGCUUGCCAAGAGGUAAAGAAGGUAAGUGGAGCUCCCAACCUCUGUUUCACACGAUCCAUAUCUCCACUGCAAACCUGCAACGCAAGAGCAAAUGAUCCCUAGUUUCCUCAUCAGUGGAGCAAAAAGUACAGGUUCCAAUAUCCAUCAAACCCCAUUGCACCAGUCGCUCAUUCACCGGCAACCUAUCAAGGUUAGCCACCCAGAAGUUAAAGGCGUGUUUAGGAACCAUGUUUUUGAACCAAACCACUUUUGACCACGUUAAAUCUUUAACCACUUAAGAAAGCGCUAUUAUACAUAACAGUUUUACGACCGCUAUUACUACUGCAUAGCAAAAGAUAACUGUGUAAUUGGCUAUCUACUCUAUUAAAAGGAAAAUGCAUUUUAUAUUUGAUCA